GGAGGAAGCAGAGAGGGGGUUGUGAGCUGUGGGGGCCAGACUAAACCAAGCCCUCUGGCUGUACUGGCCGCCAUGGAGCUAGGGCUGCUGCUUCCCCUGCUGCUGCUUGGGACUCGGGAGACCCAGGGGUCUGAGCUGGACCCCAAUGGGCAGCAUGUCUGCAGGGCAAGCAGCCUCUCUGCUGAGCUCCAGUGCUGUCCAGGCUGGAAGCAGAAAGAUCAACAAUGCACUAUCCCCAUCUGUGAGGGGCUUGAUGCCUGCCGGGAAGACGAGGUAUGCGUGAAACCAGGCCUCUGUCGAUGUAAACCCGGAUUCUUCGGGGCCCAGUGCAAUUCACGCUGCCCAGACCAGUACUGGGGCCCGGACUGCCGCGAGAUCUGCACCUGUCACCCACACGGCCAGUGCGAGUCGGCCACCGGAGUGUGCCACUGUCUAGCCGACCGCUGGGGCGGCCGCUGCGAGUUCUCGUGCAUCUGCGGCCCGCACGGGCGCUGCGACCCCGCGUCAGGCGCGUGCCGCUGCGAGCCCGGCUGGUGGUCGACCACGUGCCACCGCCCCUGCCAGUGCAACCGGGCGGCGGCGCGCUGCGAUCAGGCCACCGGCUCCUGCCUAUGCGAACCCGGCUGGUGGGGACGCCGCUGCAGUUUCCGCUGCGGCUGCCACGGCUCUCCGUGCGCCCAGGACUCGGGCCGCUGCACCUGCCGGCCCGGCUGGUGGGGUCCCGAGUGCCGGCAGCAGUGUGAGUGCGUGCGCGGCCGCUGCAGCUCCACCUCCGGCCAGUGCGUCUGCCCGCCGGGCUUCCGCGGCGCGCGCUGCGAGAUGCCCUGCUCCGCUGGCAGCUACGGGGCGCAGUGCCGCCACAGCUGUGGCCACUGCAAGCAGAAUGAGCCCUGCUCUCCAGAUACAGGCAGCUGUGAGUCCUGCGAGCCAGGCUGGAACGGGACCCAGUGCCGCCAGCCUUGCCCACCUGGCACCUUCGGCGAGAGCUGCAGGCAGCAGUGUCCCCACUGCUGGCUUGGGGGAGCCUGUCAGCCAGACACUGGGCACUGUCAGCGCUGUGACCCUGGCUGGCUGGGGCCCAGGUGUGAAGACCCCUGCCCAACUGGCACCUUCGGGGAGGGCUGUGGCUCUACCUGCCCCACCUGUGUUCAGGGGACCUGUGAUGCUGUGACUGGGGAAUGUGUCUGCAACACUGGCUACUGGGGGCCCAGCUGCAACUCUUCUUGCCCAUCUGGCUUCCAUGGAAAUAACUGCUCUGUUCUUUGUGAAUGCCCAGAGGGACCCUGCCACCCUGUCUCUGGGGCCUGCCAGCUGGGGCCUCACAGUCAGGAUGCUGCCCUCAUCGCCGGCAUUCUUGUGCCUUUGCUGGUGCUCCUCCUGGGCAUUGCCUGCUGUGUAUGCUGCUGCCAGGCCACCCGGCUAGAUCCCAAGGACAGGCCAGCAAGAGAUGGAGCUGCUGUGUCCAGGAUGAAGCUGCAGGUCUGGGGGGCAGUGACCAGCCUGGGCUCUGUGCUGCCCUGUGGUUCCCUCAGCAGCCACAAGCUUCCCUGGGUGACAGUCUCACACCACGACCCGGAGAUCCCCUUCAACCACAGCUUCAUUGAGCCACCCUCUGCGGGCUGGGCCACAGAUGACUCCUUCUCUUCUGAUCCUGAGUCUGGAGAGGAGUACGAGGGUCCUGCCUACUGCGUGCCACCCCAAGAAGGGAUGGUCCCUGUGGCCCAAGCAGAGUUGCCAGAGGCCAGCCUGGUUGGAGGUCCCUUCCCUCCCCCUGAGGAUACCUCCACACCGUUCCCCAUCCCACGUACUUCCAGUUUAGCACGGAACAAGCGACCAUCGGUCUCCUUUGCUGAAGGCACCAAGUUUGCACCGCAGAUCCACCGAAGCUCAGGGGAGCUCUCCAGCCCACUCCGAAAGCCCAAGAGGCUGUCUCGGGGCACCCAACCAGAUCCUGAGAGCCAAGAGACCGAAGAGUCCACAGGCCGAGAGCAAGGAGAUGCGGACAAGGCCUCUCCUGGUGCUGCCAGCCCCAGGGAUUCUGCCAUUGGCCGCCGCUGGCUCCCGCUUGGUGGCCGGACAGUGGCUGAGCGUGUGGAAGCCAUCGAGGGCAAUGUCCGGGAGAGCUCAGGCUCCAUGAGCACGAUCUACAUGCUGGCAGGGUCACCCCGGGGAUCUGAGGGCCCUGUCCGGUCUGUUCUCCGCCGUUUUGGUAGCUUCCACAAAGGCCAGGCAGAGCGCAAGGUCAAGAGUGCCAUCCCCAAGCCUCCACGCCGGGCCUUGAGUCGGAACAAGGGCAGUCCUGGGCUGGCCUCUGGCUCUGCUAAUCAGAGCCCCAGCUCAGUCCCGAAUGAGGAGCUCACUGGGGCCUUGGAAUCUGUAGGAACCAGGCCAGAGGAAGUGGCCAGGGGGUUGGAGGAUGGCAUCAAGAACUCGGGGAGGGCCCAGGAAUCGGCACCUGAGGGUGUCCCACCAGAACAGGAUCCCCAGAAGCUGGCUGACAAGGAAGGGCAGGAGGAGCCCCAGUAUGAGAAUGUUGCCCCUAUCUCUGGGUCACCAGCACCCUGAGGACCUUGAAUUUGGAGAGUAGAAAGACUAUGAAUGGGGAUAGGCAUCUGAAAUGCCCCUGGAUCAGAUUGUGUUUUGUGCUGGAAAAAGAUCCCAGGGCCAGGAAAGACAUAUCAGAGCCUCUGUCCUUCCAUGUGGAAACAUCAGAGUCUGGGGCCAGCUGGCCCUGGUGAUGCUGUGGAAGGCCUGGGCAGAGACCCCACAGGAUGGGGUCAGGAAGGGGAAAGAGAUGGCUGCAGGGACAUUUUCUCUGUUGUCCUGGACUCUGUUUUCCCCCAAAAGCUAUUCUUUCCUUCAUUUGCAAAACAUUUUUCUGAAAUGGGAAACAAAUGUUUGAUGGCAAAAGAUUGGUUAAAGAAAUAUUUCUUAUAGUAGGUUCCUAAACAACCACAAAAGUCAUGUUGUGCAAAAAUAUUUAAUAUGGAAGAUACGGGAGGAUGUUCAUGCUAUACUGUUAAGUAUAAAAAGUAAGUUUUCUUUUUAGAAAUUUGUUUUUUCCUCAGGAUACAUCUUUAGGAUUCUUCCAUUUUGUGUAUAUUUCAUGAUGUUUUAUGGAUUUUUAAAAAAGUACGUGCAUAAAAAAGAUUCGAGGGAAAGGCAUUCAAUGGCAUUUUUCUCUGGGAGAUGAGAUUUUGGCUGAUAUUUAUUUUUUUCUUAAACUUCUGUUGAAUUUGCAAAUUUGCCACAGUGAACAUCCUUUUUUACUUUUUUCACUAGACUGAAUUUAAAAAAAUCAUUAAAAAGCUAUGUUCUUUAUUAAAAGUAAAAAGUACUAACAUUACAGACAUGUAUAAAGUAAAAAAGAGAUCUCCCUUCUCCCCAGAGCAGCUGGGGGACAAAAAGGGGGCCAAACUUACUUCCCACUGAGUGCUUUUUGGUCUUGUUCUGAAUUCUUUCCUCACGUACUUGUAUUCCCUAGUGAGGAAAUAAAGAGUGCUUCCCCUUCUAUCCCAGUGCUCAGAGAAUCUCAUGAACAAUUUAGAGGCUUGCUUUCUGUGCACAUGAGAACAAACAAAAAAUACUGUUCUACAUGCUGGAUAUCUUUCAUGUCAGCAAAUGUAAAGCUACCUCUUUUUAUAAAAAAUGGCUAUAUGGGAUUCCAUCACAUGGAAAUAUUACAGGUUAUUUAAACCAUCCCUAGCUUACAGGGAUUUGGGUUGUUCCUAAUUGUUUUGAUGCAAUAAAUGAUGCAGUGUA